GCCUCCGGGCCUAAUGGAUAAGGCAUCGGUUUUCUAAACCGGGGAUUGUGGGUUCGAGUCCCACCGGAGGUA
rnacentral:tRNA from 1 species